AACAUCAGCAGAAAAUCAAGCAACACAUAUAACCUCUAAAUGAAAUGGCACAUUAGGUUUCUUGUAAACCUAAAUAAAGACCCCAUUUGCAACAACCAAUAACUUUUGUGGUAACUAAAAUCAUUUAAAAAAAAGGUGCUGAACAUGGUUCGUACUGAGUACAAAUGAACAAUGUGACGACACUCAGCAAUUUCGAAUGUGCCCAAGAAACCUGAACGGUACUUUUGGUGACAGGGAAACAGCUGAUGGUCGCCUUUGAAUAAGGUGCAUCACCCGGUAACGUUCAGCGGAGGGACGCCGGUCCCUCCCUCCAUCAGGCUGUGAGCAUCACUGUCAGCGCCAACCGCUUAAAGGACAAACAAAGCGGUCCGUAGCGCACAAAUAUUACUCUCCCCUAUGUAAUUCAACAACAACAUCAUCGAUCCAAACAUUUGCGAGCGCGGCGCCGUGGAGACCGGACGUCACGCACGACCAAACCCAGUCUGGCGCAUUCCAACCAAUCGAUACCGGGGUCACCUGGGGGGGGGGGGUCGAUAAUGGAUGGAAGCACCACAACUGUUUGCGUUUUAAAACGAAUCAAUCUUGUCGGGUUUCCGUUUUUUUAUACAUGCGUUGGAUUAAAAGAUAAGUAUUGCUUUUUCAUUCGGCGUUUAGGAGGAUGGAGCGUCAAAGUAACGAGACAUCGAGCAUGCAGCACAUGCCAGGUAGCGUUGUCGGAAGGAGAGGAGCCAAGACAGAACAUGACAGUCUCACCACCUUUCGCCCGUCGGUUUCGGAUGUCAGCGAGGGAUGCAGACAGCUUUUUACAAACGGGAGAGUACAACUGGAGCACCUGUGCAGGUCAGAAGAGGCGGCAUGCAGUCGCUGGUGUUAUACGCCCGCAGGCAAGAGGCCAUUAGAGGAGGAAAUGACUACUGGAGUGUUUUAAUAAGGGCUCCUUUUGAGCACUGGUGGGAUGGAUCAACCCAUCUGGAGGAGCGAUUCCCUCCCCUGGAGAAGGUGAGAUGAAGCUCACAAAAGCACCCUCGAACACUGCAGCACCUUCAGUGAUUAGCUGUACCAAAAGAAAGAUGCCGCUAUUUGGUUUUACAGCUGCUAUCUGCAUGUGCUUCCAACUUUUGUGGUUUUAUGCAGCGAGUACUGAAUAAAUUAAGAUGAUUGUUGGAUAAUUGUUGGGUGUCAUUUGAAAGACUCAAGUAUAAGGCACUUAUACAGCCUGCAUCUCUGUUCAGGGUUUCAAUAGACAAAACAAUGGCUACAGCAUGCAGCCAUAUAUAAAUAUAUAAAACAGACAGAGAGCUUUUUACAUUCUUCACUGACAGAAAACAAACAUACAGAUUUACUGCAAAAUCAUGAUCGUAACUCUUAAAUCGUCUGCACCCUAAAAUGCAAUGAUGCACAUUAUUGCUGCACAUGCAUAUUAUUCCUCCACAAUAAAGGCAACGUGUGAAACGGAUUCAAAGUCGUAUUAUUAGAAACAUGCUCAUACACACAAAAUGGGAUCCAAUUUGUGAACUCAUUACUUUUUGUCCUCUUCUGGUUUCAAUGGAACGAAGGCAGCUGUCUAAUCACAAUGGAAGACAAACAAUUAGCCAAAACAACAACAAAAACGAGGAUUUGGGGCAUUCUUCUUGUGCAGAAGUGAAAGAUUCGACGACUCAAUGAUGGAGAAACCCCGCUGGCUUCGGGGAGAAGUGGACCUUCACCCGGACCCCGAUGUGUCUGAUGCCGUGCGACGGGAAGCCACCAGAGUGACGUAAAGACAGUUCACAGAAUGGAGAGCCUGACAUGACGUAUCCCACCUGCCUGGGACCGCUGUGUGAAAUCAUGUUUACAUUUUAACACGGCCCUAUUUCGGCUGCCCCAGGCAUCCCGUACCUUUACCGCUGUGACAAAUACGUCUUCUACUUAAUAACCGUUAUGUGAAAUGAUUUUGGUGAGGAUGUCGUGUUCGGAUUUUAGCCCCGACGAUGGUUGUGCAGCACUAAAUGUAAAAUAAAGAGCGUUGGCUGCACAAAUCCCCAUGGUAUGAAUUAUGCUGGCGUAGAAAAGAAAACCCCACUGGGGGCGUUUGAUCAAGUAUAAGUGCCUUCUAUGUUGUACAGUAUAGUUUAAAGCAAAUAGAAAACCGUGGGAAGGAAUGCUAAAGUGUAAAAGUGUCGACAAAUACCAAACGCGUGCAUGUGCCGCACAGCAGGAAUUAAACACACAAAAAGCUUCGGCUAACUAUCCCGAGGUAUAUUUGUGCUGCCAAGUAAUUGUUUCACCGCGGCGCAUCAUACGCAAACGCAUCCGCUUUUAUUCAUUAGCAUUUGUCAGACCUUGGGGGCUUCAUUUCUGAGCGAGCACUUUGUUCGGUAUACCACGUAAAUACUGUAUUCCCCUUCAGGUACCGGAGCGACUAACAAACAAACCAUUAGCCACCUUCGGCCGGGAGAAAGACAAACUCGGCGAGUGCGAGGAAAAAUAGAUGUAAUUCGUCACAGACGGAUAUGCAAUGAUGAUGCGAGUCGAUGGGCGUCAGCUGAAUGCCAGAGGAACGCGGCGGGAGGAGGAUUGCUGUUAAUGCGCUUCAUUUUUGGCGGGCUUCUUUCUUUCUUCUUCAAACUGAAGCAUUUAUCUGCUCGGUUCGGUCAGCGAGCGACGUACAAUCACAUGUGGUUUCAUUUUUUGCUGAGGCCGAGCAGCUACGUGGUGACGGGGGGCAAACAAAGCAAACAGCUGUCGAGGAAUACAAAGGGGAGCUGAAGGAUUUUCUGCAUAAGCAAUAAUUUUUAACUCUUGGAUUGCUCAGCAGAAAAUAACGUUGAUGUAAUUUCUACACGAGGCUAAACUAAGGGGCAGACUGGCAAGUGGAAUAUAGUGGGAAAUAAAAAAAACCCACUAACAAAUUCAAAUUGUGCUGCUGGGAGUUGGGCUGAAGCUAGAUGUUGGCGUGUAACCCUGAUGGUGUGAAUACAUCACCUGGAUUGGGAGCAGAAGACAUCUGGAUUUUUAUAAUAUUUUAUUAUCACUCCUUCAUUUGAAAUGUAUUAUUCAGUGCAGCACUCUGGAACAUGCUACUGUAAAUAUCAUUUCCAUCUUGGCACACAGGAGUGCGGCUUGCGUGCUCUCUUGGGUACUUUCCCAAAUGCUCACAGUGCUAAGAUGGGACAUUAGCAAAAACAUCAACUCUGAAAAUGAAACAUCUCUCGAGCUCAUUCUCUCGAUUCCCGAGAAUGAGCUUUCAGAGCCUCGAUCCAAGUCACACAUUCCAGCUAGUCGCAUCCGACUGAGUCUUUCCAACUGAUUAGAUCAAUUCAAUCUUUUCUCCUGCAGCAUCUGUCUGCUGACAAAACCAACCACAAUUAAACAUCCUGCUCUUUAGACUCUGGAUUGGUUUUGGUUUAGGAGGCUGGAUCCAAAAGAAGAUGGGAAAAAAAUGUCCUGACUUUGCUCACGAUCGACAAAAGCAACGCCUUCAAAAGCUGAGAGGAUUGGACCUGAUGAACUCGUCAAACUGAACACUUGAAACAAGCCGAGGAUUGUGGAUAUUUUCACCUUCCUGUCUUUAUCUUCUAAUCUGCGUCGACCAUGGAAGCCAAAUCAGAAGUUAAAGAAAAUAAAUAAAUCGGGCGGUCAUCAUUCACAGCGACCAUCAAAAGAUGACCAUCGGUCACGCGGUCGAUAUGAGCUCCCAUACUCAGCGGUUUUCGGUCGAUUCUGCCCACGGAGAAACACUCAUGUCAAUAUAAAUAAACGUUUAAACGCAGAUACGUUUCCAACGAGCACAUACAGAACCAACAGCACGUUCGGUAAACACAACGUAUUAUGUGGCUGUAGUGCUUAUUGGAAAAAGAAAAAAACAUAAAUAUAAGCCUCAAUUUAGAGAAUAUAUAUAUAUAUAUAUAUAUAUAGCUGCUUCCGGCGGCCACAUCUGGAUUCAAACGAUAUGCCACGUUUUAUUUUUGCACAUGCGCCAAGGGGCCCUGAUGCUCAGCCGGUUUCCCUGUGCGAUUUGGUGACCAGUGU
ensembl:lncRNA